AAAAGAGCAAAAUGAAUUCCCCCACAUUUUCUCGGUCUUCUGCUGUAAGCCUCAAGUUAAAAUGAAGUGCU
rnacentral:lncRNA from 1 species